CAAAUUCCACGCGACAAAUCUGUAGUGUAUAGAUGUUAAUUAUUAUGAAAAUUUUAUAAAACGUGAGAUGUAUCUAUUUGCAAAGCCAGUAUUGAUUUUGGUGUAAUCGCAUAGUCGGGAUACGUUACACCAAAACCAACCAUGAACAGCUCGCGUGCUGCCUGCACGAGCCAAAAUUCGCAUCUAGUUUGGAGAUGGUUGGUAGUCCACACACACAUGCAUACAGGCUUUGCAAAUAGAUACAUCUCACGUUUUAUAAAAUUUUCAUAAUAAUUAGCAUCUAUACACUACAAAAUCCUCAUGAAAAGAACAGACACAUCUAACGAAACACCGCAACUUUAUUGCUCAAAAGAAUAAAGUAAUAGGGGAGCCCAAAAACGCAACCUUUCCUCAGGAAUUGGCAACGUGUAAUUUAGGGCAAAUUCGCUAAUGACAGACUGUACAGCUUCUGAAGAUUCUAUAACACUAGCCCGAAUGUCACUAGUCCGAACGACACUAGCCCGAAUGCACCAUUAGCCCGAAUGUCACUAGCCCGAAUACCACAAGCCCGAAUCGAUAUUUAUCUAUCAGUAUCUUGGUAAUAAUAGAAUACGGAAGAGCAGCGUAUGUUCCAAAGAAGGAAAAACCAUCCAGUAAAUUGAUUAUGGCGCUAAUGGUGGUGCUAAUACGAUUUGCGUCAAUACAUCUUGAAAGAAUAGCCGAUAACUUAAAGAAGGAAAAAUCUCUGAUGAAAUUGUUAAUCUGUUUUCCCCAAAAUACCUUAUGCUACCAUUCGGGCUAGUGUUACAUUCAGGCUUGUUGCAUUCGGGCUAGUGUCUUUCGGGCUAGUGACUUUCGGGCUAGUGUUACAGAACCGCUUCUGAAGUAUUUGCUGGCAAGCUAAAAUGUGUGUUGGGGAUGAUGCUGGGUCAUUCGGCCGUAGGUCAUUAGGCCGAAUGGUCAUCAGGACGAACUGCAAUUUAGCAGUUACGAAACUAGAAACCGAUCGGUUUUUUUGUUUACCUUUUUCAAUAAUUAUUGCCAAUAGCUAUUUUAACAAUGAAGCUAGAAAUAAUAGCCUAUGUUCAAAAGAAGGAAAAAAAUAUUAUUUGAAUAUCAGCAGUUUCAGUACCAAAAAAUAUGUUGGCAAUGAUACUGGAAAGAACAGCCUAUGGUUGAAAGAAGGAAAAAUUCAGUUGAGGACAUUUCCUACCCUAAAAUUUUCUGAACUAUAUCAUCGAGAAUUGAAUCCAUACAUAUUCAGGAUCGUCCUGUUUCGUAACCGCGUACCUAAGGAAAAUUCAGUAUUCCAGGAAGGUAGCAGCCGUAAAUUUCUAUAAAAUAAACUAUUUCAGGUAUUGGAUGAUGUUUCGACAGUUUUCCUAGAAUUCAAUGCAGAUACGACCUGUUCAAAUCGAACGCCAGAUUUGAAUAUCUAAUCUGAAUACUAAUUUCUUAUUACUUGGCUGAGUGAAAUCAACUAAGAAUUUAAGUACAACAAACAUGUCUGAAACGAGACACACCAAAUAAUUUAAUACAUAGUCUUAAUAAAAAAGGCGUAGAAUUACGAUGGUUUUGUACUGAAUCCGCCUUUUUGAAAUUACGCCUUACGUUAUUUUCCGCCUUUCUUUACACUUCUAAGGUGGUCUGCCUUUCGAAUUUCCGCCUUUCGUAAUUCCGCCUUUCGUGUUUCCGCCUUUUGAUAGGCUCCCCAGCUGUACUGCCGUGAAUCGCAUAUCAGUCCCAUCUUUGCUGGAUUUCCUAUGCAAAUGGGACUGAUAUGCGAUUCAGGGCAGUGUACAUGCCGACAAAAACGAAGCUUUAUCCAAAACAGCCUGAAUUUAAAUUAACUGAACAAAAAUGAACUACUUCGGCGUAUUAUUCAUCCAUAAUAGUUGUUUUGUAAUGAAAUGACUUUAUAGGUGUAAAUAAUGUACGAAAUUCGUAAAAGUCUCAUGGUGUCCAUAUUGCCCCAUGGGGGUGUCCAUUCUGCCCCGUAUGCUUGAAGACGGUCAUGAAAAACUAACAUUUUUCAUAACAUUUUUUGAAGUGGAUAAAUCAUUUUUCUUCGUGAGCAUUCUUAUGCAAUAGAUGCUAAAUAGACUUUAAAAGGACACAUGUAUCAAAAAACUAAACUUUUUUGACAUCUUGCCAGGUAAAGUUGGCAAAAACCUUAGGGUGUCCAUAUUGCCCCGCCUACCCCUAUAGAAAGUUAUUGAAUGAAAAGUUUUAUUAACUGUCAUCCUGAUUUUGUUUGUUAAAAAUUAUAUCUCUUGAACCAUAAGAGACAAAAAUAUGGUUAUCGUGACCUAAAAUUAUGGAAGGACAGAUAAUAAUAAAAAGGAACUUCAAUGCAAAUGUACUUUCGACUUCCAAUUCACGAUGAAAAACUUCCAACACUAUCAACACGAUCAAGACUUUCAAUCUCAUGUAAAAUUCUUGCUCGUCCCAAAAACGGUGUCCGGCCGUUUGGUCAAAUGCCAUUUGGCCGAAUUAGGAUCAAAAGAAUUGAGAAGAACUUUUUGACAUUAUCAAUAUGAGCAUUAGAAAUAUUUCCUUCUUUGAGGGAUUGGUUGGUAUUGAAACUAUCAAUAUUUUAUCAUAGGGUUUUUUUAAUCAUAGGCUGUUCUUUCGAGGUGUACUAAUGUGAAUAAAAUGGCAUGAUCACUUUAAAAGACACGGACAACGUCUUCAGCUUCGGGCUGUACAGACUGUUUAAACUUAACACUAGACAAAGGAUGAAUAUGCACCAGUGGAAACGGGGAAGAAACUAUUCUUACGAAAAGUUUUAACGCCCGGAGCGGGAAUCGAACCCUCACCCCAUAGCAUGGUGCGAUUAUGAGCUUGGUGACCCUAACCGCACGACUACGAGGCUCCACAAAGUUAAGUUUAUCAUCCAUUUUUCGGCCAAACGGCAUAUGGCCAAAUGACCCGGAAUUCCCAAAACCGAUGUUGAGUAUAUUAUAUUUACUAUGCGCUGGCUGUAGAUUAUCAUUUUAUUUAUCAUAGCCUGCA